UAUGGCAACGAUCCGUUAACCUUUCCAAUCUAUGAUCAUCUCAUGUCCAGCCUGCUGGACGUCGAGUGGUUUCGUCCACUCUGUUUGAUGCCUCCCUGUUCGACUUCAUAACAGCCGUCCUCCGGGGCGGCUUUUUUCUU
rnacentral:sRNA from 1 species